rfam:Erinaceus europaeus unplaced genomic scaffold scaffold01719, whole genome shotgun sequence
GGUAGGAGCCAGUGAUGUUUUUACUGAAAAUGUCUGAACCUGUCUGAAGCAUCUCAGUGAUGCCAACUCUGUGUGGUGCUGAGGCUUCUUUGCCA